UACGGGGGGAGCAAGCGUUGUUCGGAUUUACUGGGCGUAAAGGGCGCGUAGGCGGCCGUUUGCGUCGGAUGUGAAAGCCCGGGGCUCAACCUCGGAACGGCAUUCGAUACGGGACGGCUGGAGACCGGGAGAGGAGAGUGGAAUAGCCAGUGUAGAGGUGAAAUUCGUAGAUAUUGGCUGGAACACCGGUGGCGAAAGCGGCUCUCUGGCCCGGUUCUGACGCUGAGGCGCGAAAGCGUGGGGAGCAAACAGG
rnacentral:rRNA from 1 species